CCUACGGGAGGCAGCAGUCGAGAAUCAUUCACAAUGGGGGAAACCCUGAUGGUGCGACGCCGCGUGGGGGAAUGAAGGUCUUCGGAUUGUAAACCCCUGUCAUGUGGGAGCAAAUUAAAAAGAUAGUACCACACGAGGAAGAGACGGCUAACUCUGUGCCAGCAGCCGCGGUAAUACAGAGGUCUCAAGCGUUGUUCGGAAUCACUGGGCGUAAAGCGUGCGUAGGCUGUUUCGUAAGUCGUGUGUGAAAGGCGCGGGCUCAACCCGCGGACGGCACAUGAUACUGCGAGACUAGAGUAAUGGAGGGGGAACCGGAAUUCUCGGUGUAGCAGUGAAAUGCGUAGAUAUCGAGAGGAACACUCGUGGCGAAGGCGGGUUCCUGGACAUUAACUGACGCUGAGGCACGAAGGCCAAGGGAGCGAAAGGGAUUAGAUACCCUGGUAGUU
rnacentral:rRNA from 1 species